rnacentral:rRNA from 1 species
AGGACGAACGCUGGCGGCGUGCUUAACACAUGCAAGUCGAGCGGUAAGGCCUUUCUGGGUACACAAGCGGCGAACGGGUGAGUAACACGUGGGUGAUCUGCCCUGCACUUCCUGAUAAGCCUGGGAAACUGGGUCUAAUACCGGAUAUGACCUCCUAUCUCAUGGUGGGUGGUGGAAAGAUUUAUCGGGGCAUGAUGGGCCCACUCCCUAUCAACUUGUUGGUGGGGUAAUGGCCUACCAAGGCGACCACAGAUAGCCGACCUGACAGGGUGACCGGCCACACUGCGACUGACACACGACCCAGACUCCUAUCCGAGGCAGCAAUGGGGAAUAUUGCACAAUGCGGCGAAAGCCUGAUGCAACGACGCCACGUGAGGGAUGACAGCCUUCCGGUUGUAAACCUCUUCUCUCACGGACGAAACGAACGUGACGGUACCUGCACAACAAACACUGGCUAACUACAUGCCAUCACCCGCGGUAAUACAUACGGUGCAAGCGUUGUCCGGAAUUACUGGAUCGUAAAGAGUUCGUAUGCAGUUUGUCGCGUCGUUUGUGAAAACCAGCAGCUCAACUGCUGGCUUGCACGCCAUACGGGCAGACUUGAGUACUGCAAGGGAGACUGGAAUUCCUGGUGUAGCGGUGAAAUGCGCAGAUAUCAGUAGGAACACCGGUGGCGAAGACGGGUCUCUGUGCAGUAACUGACGCUGAGGAACGAAAGCGUGGGUAGCGAACAGGAUUAGAUACCUUGGUAGUUCAUGCCGUAAAUGUUGGGCAGUAGGUGUGGGGGACAUUUCACGUUUUGCGCGCGGUAGGUAACGCAUUAAGUGCGUAGCCUGGGGAGUGCGGCCGCAAGGCUGAAUCUCAAUGGAAUUGAUGGGGGCCCGCACAAGCGGCGGAGCAUGCGGAUUAAUUAGAUGCAACGCGAAGAACCUUCCCAAGGUUUGUCAUGAACGUGGAAACACCUGGAAACAGGUGCGCUGUCUUGCGGUCGGUUUACAGGUGGUGCAUGGUUGUGGUCAGACUCGUGUGUGUGUAGAUAGUUGUGGUGUAAGAUCUCCGCACACGAGACGCAACACCUCUUGUCUAUGUUGCCAGCGCGUAAUGGCGGGGAGUCAUGGGAGAGCUGUCCGGGGUCUACUCUGGAGGAAGGUGGGGAGGAGGUCAAAUCUAUCAUGCCCCUUAUGUGUUGGGGUUCACGCAUGUUACAAUGGCCGGUACAAAGGGUUGUGAUACUGUGAGGUGGAGCUAAUCUCAAAAAGCCGGUCUCAGUUUGGAUUGGGGUGUGCAACUCGACCCCAUGAAGUGGGAGUGGCUAGUAAUCGCAGAUCAGCAACGCUGCGGUGAAUACGUUUCCGGGCCUUGUACACACCGCCCGUCAAGUCACGAAAGUUGGUAACACCCGAAGCCGGUGGCCUAACCCCUUGUGGGAGGGAGCUGUCGAAGGUGGGAUUGGCGAUUGG